UCCCUGCCACCAUGUAUGAAGUCGUGGACCCUUAUCAUCCGACAGACACUUCUCGCUCACAUCCCUCAUCCACUUUCAACGUUUCUAGAGAGGUCAUCAAGACUGGAUGUGUUACAACGUCAAUGUUCAUAGCAUUUCGCAAGUUUAUCCGGGAUGAGAAACAGAGGUCAUGUUGCCUCUUUGGGCAAAUUUGGUUCAGAACACCACGUCAAAGGUCCAUUUAUCAUUCAAGGUGACAAGGAGCC